rnacentral:rRNA from 1 species
AGCGAACGCUGGCGGCAGGCCUAACACAUGCAAGUCGAACGGACCCUUCGGGGUUAGUGGCGGACGGGUGAGUAACACGUGGGAACGUGCCUUUAGGUUCGGAAUAGCUCCUGGAAACGGGUGGUAAUGCCGAAUGUGCCCUUCGGGGGAAAGAUUUAUCGCCUUUAGAGCGGCCCGCGUCUGAUUAGCUAGUUGGUGGUGUAACGGACCACCAAGGCGACGAUCAGUAGCUGGUCUGAGAGGAUGAUCAGCCACAUUGGGACUGAGACACGGCCCAAACUCCUACGGGAGGCAGCAGUGGGGAAUCUUGCGCAAUGGGCGAAAGCCUGACGCAGCCAUGCCGCGUGAAUGAUGAAGGUCUUAGGAUUGUAAAAUUCUUUCACCGGGGACGAUAAUGACGGUACCCGGAGAAGAAGCCCCGGCUAACUUCGUGCCAGCAGCCGCAGUAAUAC